AAAUUGAUCCAAGAAAAAUCCCUUCAUUGUUUUCCUUCAAGAAUCAGAAAAUUGUCCUCCAAGAACAAUAAUUUUAACUCAAUCCAAUGUAUAUAUUAAAAGAACAUGGAAAAAUCCAAUAAUGCGCCAAUUGAGAAUGAUUUCUGUGCGAUAACUUAUUUCUAAUAUUUUCCAAUCCAGAACCAACUCCAUAAAUUGAAUCAGCAAUCACAAAUCACCAACAGUCUAUCCCAAUUCAAAAACCAUAAAGUAGAGUGGAUUGAUACAAUACAAAGCAAAAAACCAAGCUCACGCAAUCGACAAACUGCCGAUGGAAAUGAAAGGUCAUGAAUCACAAGUAAAGACCUGGUGGGGCAACCUCCAAGCUUCAGUUUUGGAAAAGCAACUGUUAUCGAGAGCUUCACUACGGCACCAUCGGCACUUAGGGUUCUGAGAGCACUGAGAUCUUGACAACAUUUCAUUGCAGCUAGGAAUCUGGCCGCGUUCCCUUUUAACUGCCAACAGAUUUCGAUUGGAAGACGAAGAAAAAGAGAUUGAUGUGGGUUCGAGAUGUUGCGCCGAUGAAAAUUGAAAGAGGGUUGAUAGGAAGAUUAAGAGGAUUAGCAUCAAGACAGAUGUUCUUCUACACACCGUUGUCGCCAUGGGGAAGACAAAGACACUUCGAUCUUACUAGCUUAAAUUCAAAUCAGAAAUAAAUGUAUCCCACAUCGCUAGCAUACGCCCUGAGCUCAGGUGUAUUUAUAGCUCAAUGAAAGACUGUCAAGGCACGACCUUACUUGAACAGGAUCUGUUCUAUAGGCUUGUACCUCUGUGUCCUUGUGUUCUAAAGAGACAGGAUAUCAAGUCUGGUGGAUGAACACUGACCGUAUGAUCAGAGCGUGAUUAACAGCCCUGUGAAACCACUAUUCACUGGUGCAGUAGAGGAUCGUUCUCAGCCAUUCAAGGUUGAGAUGAUUAUACGGUUGUCUGACAGACUCUCAUAUGCUUUUUAAAUGAAGUAGAGCCACCAACCACUGCCGGUUUUGUGGAGGAUUAUUUUGUGGUGACUGUUCUAAAGGACGGAGUUUAUUGCCCACAAGGUUUCCAGUUUCAGAUCCCCAACGUGUCUGUGCUGUGUGCGACUUGAGUCCGUCCAACCAUACUUGAUGAACCGAGCAAAUAAUGCUGCUCAGCUGCCAACCCAUGACCUGACAGAUCUCAGUACAUUGAGAUCCUUGGUCAAUUUUCCAUGGGAACAGUCCAUGAAAUAUGAGAUUUACAAGACAACAAACACAAUUCGAGGUUGUAGUAAGGUAGGAUUCAAGUUCCAAGGAUGUUCCAUUAUUGCUUGAUGCAUAUCUCCUUCUGUAAAAGCUGUUUAUAUGCAUAAGCCAAUGAAUUGUGGGAAUCAUUUCUAAGUUUUAAAAAAUACUAUGGAUCUAUCAGGGAGUAUGUUAACUGAGUGAACAUGUUAGUCCACCUCAGAUUUCUUCUUUCGUUGCCCAAAAACCUGGAAAAAUUAUGUCCAGUGGAGGAGCUUGCAUCUAAUUUGGAGAGAUGAACUCUUUGCUUUAAGUUUUUUUAGCUUGAUCAAAGAAUUCUGUAAUGUUCUUAAAAACUGCAUAUUUCUCAGUAUCUUAACUUAAUAUUUCCUCAGAGGUUGGGAUGUCAUUUGACGAAGAGCAAAGGGUCUUGCAAUACUUUCUAUUGCAAAAGUAGGGAUGAUAGUUACCUACAAUAUUGGAACAGGUCUUGUUAUUUUGCUCGUAGAGAAGACGGCUUGUGGUCUCCACCAUCCGCCAUUUCUUUAUUCGGAGUUGGAUGGGGAGCUCAGGCUGGAGGAGAAUUGACAGACUUCAUAAUCGUUUUGCAAACAAAUGAGGCUGUGAAAACAUUUACUAGUCAAUGUGCAUUUCUCCCUUGGAGUUGGCUUGAAUGCAGCAGUUGGCACCGUGGGACAAGCAGUUGAAGCCCAUCUACGGGCUGGAUAUGGUGGCUACGCUGCAUGUUAUACAUAAGCUGCAGUAAAGGUGCAUUCGUUGGAUGUUAAUUGGAAGGAAGCUUUUUCACCACUCACACAAGAGAGAAUUCCUGUUGCUACGGCAGCCAAUCCAUAACUGCAUCAGAUAUACUUCUGGGCUUAACGCCCAUGCCUCUGACUGUAACUAUCCUCUGUCGUGCUCUCAACGAUCUAUACCAGAAGUUUCAGAGAUGAUCUAUUUGAAGUUACGCUGAGAUUAUUUGCUUGUAAAGGGAUACAACGUACAAAGAGAAAAGAAAAAGCAGUGCUUGGAGCAGGACAGUUCUUUAGCCACGAUGUACAGUAUCAAAAGGGUAAAUAUAUAUCAUGAUUUUUCUGUAAAUCACAACUUAGACCUAGAAAGCAAUCACUAAUUUAAGCAUCAUUGUGACCA